CAAUAGCGUAUAUUAAAGUUGUUGCAGUUAAAAAGCUCGUAGUUGAAUUUCUGUUUGAGUCGCACUCGAAGCCUUUUGGCGACUUGUUCGAUCAAACAUUAUGAACUUGCACGUGGCAACACGCGUAUGUUCACCUUUACUUUGAGAAAAUUAGAGUGUUUCAAGCAAGCAUCCGCUUUGAAUACUACAGCAUGGAAUAAUACAAUAGGACUUUAGGCCUAUUUGUUGGUUUCAGGCCUGAAGUAAUGAUUAAUAGGGACAGUUGGGGGCAUUCGUAUUGGAUGGUCAGCGGUGAAAUGCGUGGAUUCAUUCAAGACGAACUACUGCGAAAGCAUUUGCCAAAGAUGUUUUCAUUAA
rnacentral:rRNA from 1 species